rnacentral:rRNA from 1 species
UAUAUCAGUCAUGCAUAGCAUAUCAAUAAGCGGAGGAAAAGAAACUAACAAGGAUUCCCUUAGUAACGGCGAGUGAAGCGGGAAGAGCUCAAAUUUGAAAUCUUCAAGGUUUUACCUUGGACGAAUUGUAGUUUAAAGAAGUGUUUUCUGUUGAAGUUUUGGUAAAAGUUCUUUGGAAUAGGACAUCAUAGAGGGUGAGAAUCCCGUAUUUGACCAUUACUUUCAGCUUUGUGAUACACUUUCAAAGAGUCGGAUUGUUUGGGAAUGCAGUCCAAAAUGGGUGGUAAAUUUCAUCUAAAGCUAAAUAUUGGCGAGAGACCGAUAGCGAACAAGUACCGUGAGGGAAAGAUGAAAAGAACUUUGAAAAGAGAGUUAAACAGUACGUGAAAUUGUCAAAAGGGAAGCGUUUGACACCAGUGUUGUUUUCUCGAAAAUCAAUUAAAAAGAGUUGGAUUUUGUGUUGUAUUGACUUUAUCAGCUUUCUUCACUCUUUUCCAGCUUUUUUUAAUGCACUUUUCGUUUAACAAGUCAACAUCAGUUUCUUUUGUUGUAAAAAGGUCAUUGGAAGGUGGCUUUCUCUUCGGAGAAAGUGUUUAUAGCCUUUGACUCAUGCAAUCGGAGAGACUGAGGUCUGCAGCGUAGAUCCUUCGGGGUUAGAUAGCAUUUGUGCUAAGUUAUAGCUUUUCAUAGACAACUUGUUGACUAUGUUUAGUCUUGUAGCUUACUCGCUUAUGCUAUUUUACCUACGCUUAGGAUGUUGAACUCUAUCACACACAG